rnacentral:lncRNA from 1 species
GAUGAGAAUCGUAUGUGACUCCUAUUAAUAGAUAGAUUUCUUGGACUGCUAUCUGGAGAAAGGAUGGGAGGCAGCAAAAAUGAAGCACACUUGGGCAAAGAUAGACACAAAGCUACACAAAUGCUCUGAAGAACUUUUACAUUUUGUAAGUGGAGUUAUGCUGCAGGUCAAGUUGCCUAUGACUAACGCACAAGGAUCAAGAAUGCUGACUUAGGAUGUUCCAAGAAGAAGAUGGAAAACAGGGGUAUAAAUUUGGGAAGUUUUAGGUGGUUCAUGAUGGUCAAAGUGGAAAGUGCUUCUGAAGAAUAUUAGAAGAUGAAACCCAAGAGAACACAAUUUCAAGUUACAUAAAAAACAUUCUGGAUGGUGAAGAGCAGGCACAAGAGGCAAACUUUAAUUGAUCCUUAAAAAUAACCACUGCUUCAUGAGGCCAGCAUCAUCCUGAUACCAAAACCUGGCAGAGACACAACAAUAACAAAAAGUUUCAGGCCAAUAUCCCUGAUGAACAUCGAUGUGAAAAUCCUCAAUAAAAUACUGGCAAACCUAAUCCAGCAGCACAUCAAAAAGCUUAUCCACCAUGAUCAAAUCAGCUUCAUCCCUGGGAUGCAAGGCUGGUUCAACAUAUGCAAAUCAAUAAAUGUAAUCCAUCACAUAAACAGAACCAAUGACAAAAACCACAUGAUUAUCUCAAUAGAUGCAGAAAAGGCCUUCGAUAAAAUUCAACACCCAUUCAUGCUAAAAACUCUCAAUAAACGAGGUAUUGAUGGAACGUAUCUCAAAAUAAUAAGAGCUAUUUAUGACAAACCCACAGCCAAUAUCAUACUGAAUGGGCAAAAGCUGGAAGCCUUCCAGCACAAGACAAGAAUGCCUU